rnacentral:rRNA from 1 species
ACUAGAGUAGCACUCGCAUAUCAAUAAGCGGAGGAAAAGAAACUAACAAGGAUUCCCCUAGUAACGGCGAGUGAAGCGGGAAGAGCUCAAAUUUGAAAUCUUAAAGGGUUUCCCUUUACGAAUUGUAGUUUAAAGAAGUGUUUUUCUGUUGAGGUUUUGGUAAAAGUUCUUUGGAAUAGGACAUCAUAGAGGGUGAGAAUCCCGUAUUUGACCUUUACUUUCAACUUUGUGAUACACUUUCAAAGAGUCGGAUUGUUUGGGAAUGCAGUCCAAAAUGGGUGGUAAAUUUCAUCUAAAGCUAAAUAUUGGCGAGAGACCGAUAGCGAACAAGUACCGUGAGGGAAAGAUGAAAAGAACUUUGAAAAGAGAGUUAAACAGUACGUGAAAUUGUCAAAAGGGAAGCGUUUGACACCAGUGUUGUUUUUCUGAAAAUCAAUUAAAGAACUGUUUAUGCUAAGUUGUUUAGACUUUAUCAGCUAUCUGCUUAGUUUUGAGCUUUUCUUUAAUGCACUUUUCAGUUAACAAGUCAACAUCAAUUUCUUUUGCUGUAAAAAAGCUUGAGGAAGGUGGCUUGAGAUUCGUCUUAAGUGUUUAUAGCCUCUUGCCUAUGCAGUCGGAGAGAUUGAGGUCUGCAGCGUAGAUCCUUCGGGGCUAAAUGCAUUUGUGCUAAGUUAUAGCAUUUUAUAGACAACUUGUUGACUAUGAUUUGUCUUGUAGCUUACUCGCUUAUGUUAUUUUACCUACGCUUAGGAUGUUGAACUACUGAGACAUAGA